UUUGCAUCAAUACAUUGCUUUGUAUCGUUAUCAAGUCUUAUGUUAUAAUAUGAUUAUAUGAACAAUUUUUGCAAACUAUAUUAGAGGAAUAUUCAAGAAAACUUGUGCCUCUUUACGAUUUUGUGUUCAAUAUAUGCAUAAACAAGUAACACAGAUUUAUAAAGGGAUAAUGUUAUAUAGCAAUUUGAAAGAAUUUUACGGCAAACUUUUGUAAAAAUGAUCUUUACUCUGAGAUUAAAUUAGCAAAGGGUGCUUUAGGUUAACAGUCUCGAUGAAUUCUAAGCUUUCAAACUUUUCUUCUUCUUCUAUGGCUAUGUGAAAAUCAGAUUAGUAGUGACACAAUAUAAUUUUGAUCUUUGUUAAUUUGAAAGAACCGUUGGCCUGAAGAAGAAAUCUGGUAGGCCAUGUUUUCUGUUAUGCUAUAUUGGCCCUCAUCAUACUUCUUUUGAAUCCUGUAUAGUUCAGGAUGAAAUGCAAUAACCUAUUCUUCAAAUUCAUCUUAUGCUCUUUGCUGGCUGGUUUAGAAGUUUACAAGUUCGAAUCAGUUUAAGAAUAACUGAAAAGUAUUUAGGGGUUCUUGUUAAACUUCUUUGGAGUAAUCCAUGUAAUUUUGAUCAGGUAAGACUUGAUCCUGGUUUAAAUUAGGCUCAUGGUCUGCUCCCGUGAGGUAUUGGAUUCGAUUUCUAAUAAAUCCGAAUUGAAAUAAAAAUUGGAACAAAUUACCGAUCGUUUUUCUGGCUGAGUCGCAGACUAUGUCGCUCUCUUUAAGACGUUUCGCGGCUCUGCUCAAAGUGUGCACAACAGUCUAUCAACCACGCCGCUCUCGAGAUAAAACAACCUCUGUAUCUGGUUUCUCUUUGCACCGAAAGGCUUUGCUCUUUUACACCCUCAAGCUCAGAGAAAUUCAAAAGAGAAUAUUUUUUUCUCAGAAAAAAGAUGUGUCUUCUCGUUUUUUCUUAUCAGAGUUAUGUAAAGAAGUCGAUCUGUAUAAAACGGUAAGAAAACGUUUUUCAAACGUGGGAAAAAAUAUCGUGGUCAUAGUAGUUAAAACAAAUCACGUUUACUGCUUCUUAAAAAAUCGUUUUAAAAAUUAAUUAAUAAGUAAAAAAUAAUUAUUUUAUUAUUAAAUAAUUUUUCAACAAAAAAUAAAGUAUGACUCCACACUACCCGCCCGCUAGCUCAGCUCGAUCGGACGGCGGCGGCGCGCGCGCGUGUGGUGAUCAAGUGUGUGAGUUCUCACCCAUUUGCACAAAACUAGGUACCUCUUGGGGCACACCCCAAUGGAUGGGACUUGCAUCUUAUGUACACUCUUAGAAGAGUGUUUCAAAUCCAUGUGAGAUUUUUCCCAUAUCACACACAAUUAUACUUUUUCAAUUUUUUUUAACAGUUCAUUUUAACUUUUAACAAAAAGUUCCAACAAUCCCCCACUUGAAUUUUUAAAAAUUAUUUUCUCGAGCAAUAUCAGAAUCUAUAAGAUUGUACAUAAACAAAUGUAUCUUUUGAUUUGAACAUUUGCGUAGGGAAUACGAUUUAGAUUAUACUAGAGUGACACGUAGUCUUGAACUCUAUUUCUAACAUCGUACCACGCACCAAUCUUUCAAGAGUGUAAUCAAAAAGCCCUUGCGUUAAUGGUCAUGCACGUCUAUCCCAGUAUAGUGAAUGCUCUAGAAAUUUUGCCCAAAAUUCCAUAGGAAGCGGCCCCACUUCCACAUUUACAUAGGUGAGUCUAUCAAGAGUACUCCUGUAGCUCAGUACUCCACUCCACAUAGAGUAUAGAUCUCAUUAAGAGUUUCUAUUAACUCAUCCUCUCAUUGCUUCAGGAAUUCAUGCUUCUAUAUGCUUUAAUGGAAAUAGCAUGAUCCAACUCAUAUCACUUCACAACUUGUUGUUACCCAUUGAACUUAGUUCUUGGGAUCUCCAGUGUAGAGACUCAGAAAAAGAAAAAAAAAAAAAGUAUUAUUUAAAUUAUUUUUUUUUGUGGGUGGGACCCACCUGAGUAAAUGAGUCAGUACUCAUUUUUUUUCUUCUUUUCUUUUCUUCUUCUUUUCCCUUCUCUCUUCUCGAAACCCCUUCUUCUUCUCCCUUUUUCUUUUAUUUUCUUUCCUUUGUUUUCUCUCCAAACCAGUCACGGCCACAACCAGUUGGACCACCGCCGGAGCGCCAUUUCCGACACGCGCUGGAGCUGCAGCUUCCCUGACCGGCGAUGAUGGAAACCCCAAAGUUUGGUGGCCAUCGGAGCAAGGACGCGCCUAUACAGCCACUCCGAAGUUUCGCCGUCAAAACUUUGAGGUGACUUUCCGGCGAACUCCGACCACCGUUCGGCGAGUGGGUGGUACCGUUGGAAUCAGCGUCGUGAGAGGAUCGUCGCACACUAAGUCAUUCUGGUCAACUCACCAUUUUUCUCCGGCGAGAUUUUGGGUAUCUUCGCCCCUUUGGAAGCAUUUUCCGGCGACACCGGAGGUCAUUUGGGCGAAGGAGCUGUACUUUCGUGAUGUACUCAUCGGGAUGAUCGUUUUGAUAUAUGCCAUGCAUAUAUUCGUUAACCUUUCCGGUACCGCCACCAACCGCUAUUGUGCACCGCUUGGGAAAAACGUGAUAUUAAAAUCGGACUAAAUCAUUCUAAGAUCAUCGAUAAGCUUAGGAGCGUUGCUUUGGGCUUGGAUUAAAUUCAAAGGAGGUAUCUAAAGAGGUAGGGACUCAACUAGACUAUUGGACUUAUUUUACUCGUAUUAAAUUGCAUUCAACAUAUUCCAAUUUUGAUAUUUAUAAAAUGUUUGAAAAAUUGAAAACUUAACCUACAUGUUCUCUGAUCUGUUCUGAGGGCACCGAGUGCCAAAUAUAUAUUUUGUUCACUUAUUUAUGCAGGUUAUGAUUUUUGGGUUUAUUCAAAUGUAGUUGUUAUGCUGCCCAAUUUUCUAAAAUAUAAAGAGAAUAUGUUUCUUUCUUUUCAUGUUUACCUGCAUUUGGUUAUACUGGUGAGAGCCAUAGUGAUCAUGAUUGGUGCACGUUGUUGUUUCACGACCUAGUCUCUGUGUCAUCACAGGUAGAUCAGGUGUCUACUCACCUGUAGGUGUAAAGACCUAGCAUCUGUAUACAGGAAGUGUUCUGAGCCUCCCCCUUGUGGUGGUUAUCAGGUCCGGCUACCCGAUUUAGGAUGUCGGAUUUUCUAUGGUGGGUAACGGGAACUAGGGAUCUAGUGGACGGUGUGAUGUGCACUUGUAGCUAUGCUCUUAUGAUUAUUUGUGCUUUCUCUAUUUUGGUUUAUACAUGAUGAUAUAUGUUUUGCUUUCAAAGCUAACUAUGCAGGGGUUUUAUUAAACUUUUGGGUCCAUGAUAUUAGUUGUUUUCCUACUGGGCUUUAUAAGCUCACCCCUAUCUCUCCCAUUCUAGGAGCCUAGUGACGCGAACGUGGAAAUGAUGAAUUAUCGAUGGAGCCAAUGUGUUUAGCCUAUUUCUAUUUCGGGUCAUUGUCUUAUCUUUUGAGCAUUAUAUAUGUAUUCGACUUCGAAUCUAAUGAUCGGUAUAUCUGAAUGAGCUAUGAAAUAGUUAGGGAUGAGGAAUGGUGGAUGCUAAGUAUUAUUUUGAGUGUUUAUGACUUAUUAAAUUUAACUAUUUGGUGAUUACAUAA